rnacentral:rRNA from 1 species
UGCGGUUAGAAAGCUCGUAGUUGGAUCUCGGCGGGCAGGGGGUGGUUCGCUCUUCAGCGCUACUGCCCCGCUUUGCCCGUGUGAUUGGCGGAGGUUUCGGGGUGCUCUUCGUUGAGUGACUCGGAGCGCCGUCAGGUUUACUUUGAAAAAAUUAGAGUGCUCAAAGCAGGCUUUUCACGCUUGAAUAUUCGUGCAUGGAAUAAUGGAAUAGGAACUCGUUUCUAUUUUGUUGGUUUUCGGAAAUCGAGUUAAUGAUUAACAGGGACAAUUGGGGGCAUUAGUAUUCAGACGACAGAGGUGAAAUUCUUGGACCGUCUGAAGACUGACUACUGCGAAAGCAUUUGCCAAGAGUGUUUUCAUUAAUCAAGAACGAAAGUUAGAGGUUCGAAGGCGAUCAGAUACCGCCCUAGUUCUAACCAUAAACGAUGCCAGCUAGCGAUCUGCCGAGUUUUUUUUGUAGGCUCCGCAGGAAGCUUUCGGGAAACCAAAGCUUUUGGGUUCCGGGGGAAGUAUGGUUGCAAAGCUGAAACUUAAAGGAAUUGACGGAAGGGCACCACCAGGAGUGGAGCCUGCGGCUUAAUUUGACUCAACACGGGAAAUCUCACCAGGCCCGGACACUGGAAGGAUUGACAGAUUGAGAGCUCUUUCUCGAUUCGGU